AAAUUUUUUUUUAAUACUUCGAUAUAUUUUAUACUACAAAACAAAAUAAAAAUUGUAAAAUGUCAAAUAAUAAUAUAUGAAAUAUAUUUGUAAGUAUAAAGAAUAAUGUGUAUAAAAUAACAUUGAUGUUUAUUGGACGACGUAAAAGGUAGGAAUUUUCAUUGACCAAUAAGCGACAGCCAUUUUUCGCUCUUCAACCAAUCAGAAUACAAGUUCUAACUCUUAAAGUAUUUGAUAUAGGACUUAUCUGCUUUUUUCAAAUUAGUGAGGAACAUGAUCGGUGAGAGAAGAAACAUUAAUUAAUUGUUGGAAAAAUGAGAAGACGAAAGCUGAGUAUUAAUCAACGAAGACUUCGAUGUUAAAAUAUUGACAAGACUUCGUUGGAUCUAAUGACGGAAAAGUGAUAAGAAAUAAUGGAUGAAAGAAUACGCAGAUCUUCAUCAGAGAUUUUUUUUCAUCUUCAUCAAGAAAAAGGAUAAAUCAAUAUUGGGUAUGAUUUGAAUAUCUUUUCUAUUAUACAACGUUCGUUGCGACUUUUCAUUUAUUCGUGGUUUCAAUCGUUUAAUUUUAAGUAUACGAUUUAUAUUAUAUUUGAUUUUUGAAAUUUUCCUUGAAUCUUUAAGAUUUUAGAAUUUACAUUUAAUAAAAUUAAUGUUUUAAAAAUUUUGCUUUUAACGUUUAGUUAUAGAAAUUUGACUUUCAACAUUUAUCAUUAAGAAUUUAACUUCCUCUUUUAAUUUCAUACAUUUCAUUUCAUUUGCAAAAUUUAUAAAAUUUAACUUUCAUCGUUUAAUUUUUCGUUAGCAUUUUACCUCAGUCGUUUAAUUUUAAAAAUUUAGUUUCCAACAUUUUUACGAAUUUAAUCAGUUUUACGAAUUUAAUCAUCAACGUUUAGUUUUAAGCAUUUCGAUUGUUUCAAGCAUUUUCAAUCGUUUAUUUCGAAGCAUUUAGCUUUCAAUGUUUAAUCUUACGAAUUUAGUCUUUAUCUCAUUUAACUUGAAAAAUUUAAUUUUAAUCUUAUAGCUUUAAGUACAUAUUAUUAUGUUGCUUAAUGAAACUAUUUUUAUCUAGUAACAUUUUAUAUCUGAAUUAUAUUAUUCGUUUAAUAUAAUCAGUAAUUUACUGAUCAACAAUCCUUUAACGAAUACUUAUGCAAACCUACGAAUAGAUACGAAUUACAACAGAAAAUGUUACCAAUGUAAAGCAAUCCGUUUUCUAGUUCAUUGAAUGAAUAAUUUGGAAAAAAAAUUAAAGAAAGAGAGAGAGAGAGAGAGAGAGAGAGAGAGAGAGAUUCGACGAUAUAUACGAGAAUGCAUGUAUCCAUGUAAAACUAGUUUCAAACUAAAAUUCAUUUAACUAAUUUAUUUCACGUGGGUAACUCUACCGUCGGUACAACACAAAACCGAGUAUUCCGAGAACGUCCGAGAAAACUUUCAGAAAAAAAAAAAAGGAAACAGCAAGAAAUAGAAGUGUUAGCUCGAAGACCGUGUAAGUGCUUUGGUUUUUCCACACAAGAGGCAUUUUUCUCACACCUAUUAAUAAAAGGAUUUUAUCGUGUCACCGAAUAUCCGAUUAGUUUAUAUGUACUUUUAGAAGAAAUUUCUAACGUUUAAUAUCUAGUAACACUUAGAUAACAAAUGAGAAUAAGAUAUAUAUUGAAUUGAUCUUUGGAAUCUUUGGAAGAAGGAGGAUGAUGAACAAUAUGACAAGUAUAUCUCUUUUUUUAUUUCAUUACCAACAGUAUUCUUACAUCAUGCCGAAACAAUGUAUAGUGUCUAUAUCAUAAUAUAUAUAUAUAUAUUUAUAUAUAUAUGUAUUUAUAUAUAUAUAUUUAUAUAUAUAUAUUUAUAUAUAUAUAUAUAUAUAUAUAUAUAUAUGUAUAUAAUCGUUUAUAAUCGUUUAUAGCAAUAAGUAGUCUGUAAUAGGCGAGUCAGUAGGUAUUUAAACAAGUUUUAGGUACGCGUCAUUUCGGUUUAUUUUUCAUUGAAAUUCCGUCGUCGUAAAGUUCAGUGUCGAUCCUCGAUACA